GAUGAACGCUGGCGGCGUGCCUAACACAUGCAAGUCGAGCGGGAUCUUGCUAAAUGACGCUUCGGUUGAUUUUAGUAAGUGAGAGCGGCGGACGGGUGAGUAACGCGUAGGCAACCUGCCCUUUGCAGAGGGAUAGCCAUUGGAAACGAUGAUUAAAACCUCAUAAUGCCAGACUGAGACAUCUCUAACUGGCCAAAGAUUUAUCGGCAAAGGAUGGGCCUGCGUCUGAUUAGCUAGUUGGUGGGGUAACGGCCUACCAAGGCGACGAUCAGUAGCCGACCUGAGAGGGUGAUCGGCCACAUUGGAACUGAGACACGGUCCAA
rnacentral:rRNA from 1 species